rnacentral:rRNA from 1 species
GACGAACGCUGGCGGCGUGCUUAACACAUGCAAGUCGAACGGGUCUGCCCUGUUUUUUGCGGGGUGGGUCAGUGGCGAACGGGUGAGUAACACGUGAGUAACCUGCCCCUCACUUCUGGAUAACCGCUUGAAAGGGUGGCUAAUACGGGGUGUUCUGGCUGUGCCGCAUGGUGUGGCUGGGAAAGAUUCACUUUUGUGGUGUUUUGGUGGGUGAUGGGCUCGCGGCCUAUCAGCUUGUUGGUGGGGUGAUGGCCUGCCAAGGCUUUGACGGGUGGCCGGCCUGGGCGGGUGGCCGGUCACACUGGGACUGCGGUCCGGCUCAGACUCAUGCGCGAGGCAGCAGUGGGGGGUAUUGCACAAUGGGGGGAAGCCUGAUGCAGCGACGUCGCGUGAGGGAUGGAGGCCUUCGGGUUGUGAACCUCUUUCGCCGGUGAAGAAGGUCCUGCUCUUUGUGGUGGGGUUGACGGUAGCCGGGUUAUGAAGCGCCGGCUAACUACGUG